AAGGGCUUAGGAUAGCAUGCAUAGACCAAGGGCCUUCAAAGCCCCAAGCGGGAGUGAGAAUCUCCCAGCCCUUG
rnacentral:tRNA from 1 species